rnacentral:misc_RNA from 1 species
GAUGAAGAACGCAGCGAAAUGCGAUAAGUAGUGUGAAUUGCAGAAUUCAGUGAAUCAUCGAAUCUUUGAACGCACAUUGCGCCCCUUGGUAUCCCGAGGGGCAUGCCUGUUCGAGCGUCAUUUCACCACUCAAGCCUGGCUUGGUGUUGGGCGACGUCCUCUUUGGGGACGCGCCUCGAAACGCUCGGCGGCGUGGCACCGGCUUUAAGCGUAGCAGAAUCUUUCGCUUUGGAAGUCGGGGCCCCGUCUGCCGGAAGACCUGCUCGCAAGGUUGACCUCGGAUCAGGCAGGGAUACCCACUGAACUUAAGCAUAUCAAUAAGCGGAGGA